rnacentral:rRNA from 1 species
UACGUAGGGCGCAAGCGUUGUCCGGAAUUAUUGGGCGUAAAGAGCUCGUAGGCGGUUUGUCGCGUCUGCUGUGAAAGCCCGGGGCUCAACCCCGGGUCUGCAGUGGGUACGGGCAGACUAGAGUGCAGUAGGGGAGACUGGAAUUCCUGGUGUAGCGGUGAAAUGCGCAGAUAUCAGGAGGAACACCGAUGGCGAAGGCAGGUCUCUGGGCUGUUACUGACGCUGAGGACGAAGCUGGGGAGCGAACAGGAUUAGAUACCCGUGUAGUCC